ACAAAACCUAGGCUUCCCUUUCUCUUAAAUCGCCACGUGCUUCCGCCAUAGCUCCGCCGCCCGGAAAUCGCCUCGCGGCGGCAGAGCAUCUCCAAACGCCUCCAACUUUUAACCAACUAAUCCCCACCAUCCCCUCGUUCAUAUCCUGCCAUUGAUUUUCCCAAAAGAUUGCUCAAUUUCUCUGAAUUGUAGAUUCAAAAAAUAAAAAUCCAAUCUUUUUUUCCUUUUGCCCAAAUUUUCCGGAUUAAAUUAUCAAUUCGUGUAAAACCUGCAUGAGUUCCUAAGUUUGUCAACAAAGGAGGUUCGUUUGAAUAUCAAGAAGCCCUAUCUCAUGGAUUUGGUCAGAUUUCAGGCAAAUCGCUUUAAACGCUCCAAUUUCUCCAAGCUUCUGCCUUAUUUCCGUUUUGGCACAUGGUGAGAAUUGUUGCAUGAAUUGUUAACCAUGGAUGAAAAUCCGGUUAACAUUAAUGUGAUAAUUCCCACUAUUUGGCCGAGUUUGGUGCUCAUUGGAGUCUCAAGUGGAUCCAUUACUCCCUUUUUCUAGCCUGUUGAAGUGUUUGUUUCCAUCGGUAUAGUUCUUUCCUUUCUUCAUUCAUCUACUGGAUUUUUUUAAUUUAUUUUUUCUUUUCUGUCUCAGAGUAAUUAGGAUUAUUUUUAGGGCAUAAUGGACUAAUCAGUCGAUUAAUAAUUCAUUAAUUAGCUUAAUUAUUUUUCCUUAAUGUUUCUAAAAAGAGACCUCAUUUAGCUUUUGUUUUUUUAUUGAAUGUUUGUUCUAAAUUCUGUUCAAGUUUGUUUGAUUUUGGGUUUUGAAACCCAGACUUGGUACGAAAGCCCAAGAAUUGUUGGGCUUAAUUUUUAAAUGACCCAGGCCCAGUAUUACUGGUAAAAUCUCCAAUAGAACAGUAAAAAAAAAGAAAGGUAAAAAAAGGGUUGUUGGGUUUUGAAAAUUGGAUAAGGCUUAAAGGAAGCUUCUAGAAAGCUGACAAGGAUUCUAUUAGAGAUGAAGGAGGGGGAAUAUUCUUUGGGGCAGGGGUGUAAGUGUUUUAAAAUAAAAGUUUUAAUGGUGCAUUUGAAUUAAGAACAUCUGAUGUUGUUACCCUAAUACUCUCUAUAAAAGACCCAUUUUCCAAUUAUUAGGGUACAGAAAAAAAGGGUGAAAAAACACAAAUGGCUGAAAUCAGCUCUUUUCCAAAAAAUUCUGAAGAAAAUUUUCGAGUUUCUUGCUAUUUUUGGGUCUUGCUGGGAAUUUUUCAGAGGUUGGAACAAGGCUGUGGGUUUUGGUUUCACGUCUGGUUGUUUGAGCUGAGCUACUGCAGAUUUCAUUGUUUCUUUGAGUUGAUUUCCCUCCUUUCUUCUAGGUUGAAAAUGUUGUUAAAGGUCAAGCAGAUUUAGUUGUGGAAUGCAUAGGAGUUCUACCAUAUUCUUCUUAUUUGGAGCUUAGUAAAUGUGUAUUGAGUUGUUUAUUAUUGGUUAUUAGCUGAAGCUUGCAAAUCUGACCACUAAUUGGUUAGAUUGGUAAGCUCUAAUGCUAAAAGAAGGGGUUGGAAGUUGUUGGAAAGGUUUGGAGCUGAAGAUUAAAUCAAACAAUAUGAUUCAUUACGGCAAUUGACUUUGUGUACAUUGGAAGGCUUUAAUUAUCAAGAGUUGUAUUUGAAAAAUGGCCAAAUUUGUAAAUGCCAGACUGUAGUUGAUUUCUUUUUUUUGAAGUUUUAAGUGUCAAUGAUUUUUUGUUCUGUAAAUAGUAUGUAUAUGUGUAUAGAAUUGAUUGUAUCAUUUAAUUUUCGUCUAUUACUUGAAAAGGUGCUAUAAGUAUUUUUAGGUCAAGGGAGGCAUCAUAGUCAUUAGUAGGUUACAAUUGUGUAUUUUAAGUCAUUUCCCUCAAGUGUUUAAAUUGUUGUUAUGGA